UGGGGAAUAUUGGACAAUGGGCGCAAGCCUGAUCCAGCCAUGCCGCGUGGGUGAAGAAGGCCUUCGGGUUGUAAAGCCCUUUUGUCCGGAAAGAAAAGCUUCGGGCUAAUACCCCGGGGUCCUGACGGUACCGGAAGAAUAAGCACCGGCUAACUUCGUGCCAGCAGCCGCGGUAAUACGAAGGGUGCAAGCGUUACUCGGAAUUACUGGGCGUAAAGCGUGCGUAGGUGGUUUGUUAAGUCUGAUGUGAAAGCCCCGGGCUCAACCUGGGAAUUGCAUUGGAUACUGGCAGGCUAGAGUGCGGUAGAGGAUGGCGGAAUUCCCGGUGUAGCAGUGAAAUGCGUAGAGAUCGGGAGGAACAUCUGUGGCGAAGGCGGCCAUCUGGACCAGCACUGACACUGAGGCACGAAAGCGUGGGGAGCAAACA
rnacentral:rRNA from 1 species